rnacentral:lncRNA from 1 species
CGCUGACAACAGGUUAAACGAUUCCAUCCACCCCACUCUGGCGGCUGCCCCCUCCCCGACCCUCGCAGGUGACCUGCACCCACUUUCGACCUCAGAUAGGGUCUCCCUGCUCGGCGUUCCCAGUUCCUCCAGGCUCGGCGGCUGCGUGGGGGUUAACAAGGUCCAGCCACCGACGCCCCUUGGGCGUUUAGGAAUCUCGAGGCAGGAUCUGAAUUCACCUCGUGGAAACAAAGACCACAAACUCUCCGGGAGCCGGGGGCUGGGCGGAGGACCCCCGCGAAAGGCCGGGCCACGGUGCACCGUCUGCCCCCGUCACGCGCUGUGCAAAGUUCAAGAGGACACAGUGGGUCCUGUCUGGAGUCACAGACUCUGGUGUUUCCCUCUGCUCCGCCCGCAGUGGCCGCUACCCUGGGGCCCAAGACCGGCGCGGGCCAGAGCGCCGGGGCCCAACAGAGAUGACCUGGUGUGUGCAGGGAUCAGGACCCCCCGGGUGGGCCCGUGGUGUUGGGGGGGUUGGCUUGGUGUAAACUGGAAACUCAGAGGAGUGAAUUAAAUAUCCAAAUAAUUGAGAACAACU